UGAGGAAUAUUGGUCAAUGGACGAGAGUCUGAACCAGCCAAGUAGCGUGCAGGAUGACGGCCCUCCGGGUUGUAAACUGCUUUUAGUUGGGAAUAAAAAAGAUGACGUGUCAUCUAUUGUAUGUACCAUCAGAAAAAGCAUCGGCUAACUCCGUGCCAGCAGCCGCGGUAAUACGGAGGAUGCGAGCGUUAUCCGGAUUUAUUGGGUUUAAAGGGUGCGCAGGCGGCGUGCCAAGUCAGCGGUCAAAGUUCCGGGCUCAACCCGGUGAUGCCGUUGAAACUGGUGUGCUUGAGUGCGUGCGAGGGAGGCGGAAUGCGUUGUGUAGCGGUGAAAUGCAUAGAUAUGACGCAGAACUCCGAUUGCGAAGGCAGCUU
rnacentral:rRNA from 1 species